CACAUGCAAGUCGAGGGGCAGCAUAAAAGUAGCAAUACUUGGUGGCGACCGGCGCACGGGUGAGUAACGCAUAUGCAACCUACCUAUCGAGAGGGGAAUAACCCGGCGAAAGUCGGACUAAUACCGCAUAAAACAGGGGCACCGCAUGGUGAUAUUUGUUAAAGAGAUUCGCUGAUAGAUGGGCAUGCGUUCCAUUAGGUAGUUGGUGAGGUAACGGCUCACCAAGCCGACGAUGGAUAGGGGAACUGAGAGGUUGGUCCCCCACACUGGUACUGAGACACGGACCAGACUCCUACGGGAGGCAGCAGUGAGGAAUAUUGGUCAAUGGGCGAGAGCCUGAACCAGCCAAGUCGCGUGAAAGGAAGAAGGAUCUAUGGUUCGUAAACUUCUUUUGCAGGGGAAUAAAGUGCAGGACGUGUCCUGUUUUGUAUGUACCCUGAGAAUAAGGAUCGGCUAACUCCGUGCCAGCCGCAGC
rnacentral:rRNA from 1 species